CGCUGAGUUUGAUCCUGGCUCAGGAUGAACGCUAGCGGCAGGCUUAACACAUGCAAGUCGAGGGGUAUAGUUCUUCGGAGCUAGAGACCGGCGCACGGGUGCGUAACGCGUAUGCAAUCUACCUUUUACAGAGGGAUAGCCCAGAGAAAUUUGGAUUAAUACCUCAUAGUAUGUGAGAAUCGCAUGGUUUUCACAUCAAAGUUCCAACGGUAAAGAUGAGCAUGCGUCCCAUUAGCUAGAUGGUAAGGUAACGGCUUACCAUGGCGACGAGU
rnacentral:rRNA from 1 species